rnacentral:lncRNA from 10 species
UAAGGAUCUAAGCAUCUAGCAUUUCCCCUGCUUGCCUGUACUCCAUCCUGCCACCCUGUGAAGAAGGUUCCUGCUUCUCCUUUACCUUCUGCCAUGACUGUACUAUAGUAGGGACUGGAAAUUCAACGUGAAAAAAAGUUAAAUCUCUGCUGCCUUAAAAUAAUCAGAAUGUAAGGAGAAAAUGUUUUCAGCUGGAACUUAAAUAGACCGGCCACAAAUAACCCGUAAUUCUCUAUAAAUGGACUGUCAUGCUGAGAACAGCUUUAUGCCACGCUGAUCCUAGCUCCACAAGAGCCGGCUAAGCUACACUUACCCAGUAGCAGGUCACACUCCAGAGCCCACUGGAUUCUUGCUGACACAAUAAGUACGCUUCCAGCUGGGGCCAAGAACAAUCUGGACUCAGGCAGAGUGUGAAUUACAGUGAAGAGCUACCACCCUCCUAACCACAGCCAAUCAACAGAAAAUAAACACAGGUAGGAGAAGGAAUGAACUCCUUUCCACAACAUGAGUACAUCACUUUUUCUCUGUUACAGUUUUGUGGAGGAAAUCAUCCCCUUGGGAUCUUCAGCGUUGUCUCAUUUACCUCCGCUCUCUCUAGAACUGGGUGGUGCAAAAAUGCCUAAGCCUUCUUGGGAAAGGAAACUGAGUGCCACAUGCAUAGGAGGCGUGGCUAUGGGUCAGCUGGUGUACCUCUAAUGCAAGUACCUCACAUGCUUAAAAUGGUUCUUCCUCCUAUCCCUCCUUUCCGUAAACUGCACCCUCUGUUUCACCCAAAACCAAAAUGGUAAAAUCACUGAGAAAACACAAGAGUUAUUGAAAUCAAAGUGUUAACAAUUCCUUUUAAGUGUAUCUUGCGUUUUAAAUGGAUGUGGUAUCUUAAUAUCAUAUUGUGAUUAUAUUUUUAAUUUUUCAAAGCCACAACCUGACUUAAAAGAGGUCAAUAUUCUUUUCCUCCUUUAAUAAAAUUGUACUGACAAGUUUUAAUAAAAGCUGUGCCUGUUUUAUAUUUUCUUGUUGUGGAUUAUAUACAAAAUUAAAUAUAGAAUCAUUUUAUGUUCAGUUAACAACUUUUAAUUUUUUUCCUAAUUGAAAUGUAAGAGUGUACAUAUUGUUACUAUGUAAGGCUUUGUAAAAUGUAGUCCUUUUAAAGCUAAAAGAAUAGGACCAAAAUAAUUCAACAUAAACAUGUAUUAAUCAUGUGUCAAUUACCAUUUAAAUCUGUACUACUAUUUUACUAUAGAUAACUUACUGAACACCUCCCUUCAAAAUAAA